CUCUGGAUUCUUUCUCGUUUAGUCUGAAUCGGAGAGGAGGGUGCGUGUGUGGCUGAAAUUCAACGGGUAUGGUGAACCUACACAUGGAUAGUGUUUGAAAGGUAGUGUAGACGUGGAUAGGUAUUUGUAAGCGGGUCACCUAGCAAAUGUAAUUAUUGUGGUCAAUGUGAGAUUGUGUGCUAUAUCUAUGCGAUGAGGGAAUCCUUUUCACCUCUCCU
rnacentral:lncRNA from 1 species